AGUGAACGCUGGCGGUAGGCCUAACACAUGCAAGUCGAACGGCAGCACAGGAGAGCUUGCUCUCUGGGUGGCGAGUGGCGGACGGGUGAGGAGUACAUCGGAAUCUACUCUGUCGUGGGGGAUAACGUAGGGAAACUUACGCUAAUACCGCAUACGACCUACGGGUGAAAGCCGGGGAUCUUCGGACCUUGCCCGACUGAAUGAGCCGAUGUCGGAUUAGCUAGUUGGCGGGGUAAAGGCCCACCAAGGCGACGAUCCGUAGCUGGUCUGAGAGGAUGAUCAGCCACACUGGAACUGAGACACGGUCCAGACUCCUACGGGAGGCAGCAGUGGGGAAUAUUGGACAAUGGGCGCAAGCCUGAUCCAGCCAUACCGCGUGGGUGAAGAAGGCCUUCGGGUUGUAAAGCCCUUUUGUUGGGAAAGAAAUCCAGCUGGCUAAUACCCGGUUGGGAUGACGGUACCCAAAGAAUAAGCACCGGCUAACUUCGUGCCAGCCGCCGCCGUAA
rnacentral:rRNA from 1 species